AUUGAACGCUGGCGGCAUGCUUUACACAUGCAAGUCGAACGGUAACAGGGUGCUUGCACCGCUGACGAGUGGCGAACGGGUGAGUAAUGCGUCGGAACGUGCCGAGUAGUGGGGGAUAACGCAGCGAAAGUUGUGCUAAUACCGCAUACGUACUGAGGUAGAAAGUGGGGGACCUUCGGGCCUCACGCUAUUCGAGCGGCCGACGUCUGAUUAGCUAGUAGGUGAGGUAAAGGCUCACCUAGGCGACGAUCAGUAGCGGGUCUGAGAGGAUGAUCCGCCACACUGGGACUGAGACACGGCCCAGACUCCUACGGGAGGCAGCAGCGGGGAAUUUUGGACAAUGGGCGAAAGCCUGAUCCAGCCAUGCCGCGUGUCUGAAGAAGGCCUUCGGGUUGUAAAGGACUUUUGUCGGGGAGGAAAUCCCCAGCGUUAAUACCGCUGGGGGAUGACAGUACCUGAGGAAUAAGCACCGGCUAACUACGUGCCAGCCGCCGCCGUAAUAC
rnacentral:rRNA from 1 species